rnacentral:misc_RNA from 1 species
GGCACGACUGCCGGUCGACACCCCCCCUCAGUGGUGCAUCAAGGUUGGCUUGUGCGGCAAACGGGUUUCUGUUUUGGCUACCUAUCGUAACGGAAUGGUCCCUCUCGGUGUCCCUUUCCUUCUCUUGCCCUCGCGGGCACGAGGAGGACGUCGCAGCUGAGCUCGCGUCCCGCUCGAGCGGCGCGUUUGUCGCGCCCUCGUGACGGUCCGCGAGCUUUCGCUCGAUCUCYCGGAUGCGGAACGCAAAGCGGAUGUCGGUCUUGGCCCCGAUUGUCUGAAAAAUUCGAAGCGCUUGUCGCUCGAAACGCACGACCGCCGCGCCCGCGUCGGGCUCUCGUCYCCCGAGUUCGUUUGUCCCGCGCGGUGCCGGCGUCGGAAAGGAAUGCUACCUGGUU